AUAGCGGUGGUUCAGUGGUAGAACGCUCACCUUCCUUAUGAGAGACCUGGGUUGGAUUCCUGGCCAAUGUA
rnacentral:tRNA from 1 species